rnacentral:rRNA from 1 species
CUUCAUGAAGCCGGAAUUGCUAGUAAUGGCAGGUCAGCAUACUGCCGUGAAUACGUUCCCGGGCCUUGUACACACCGCCCGUCACACCAUGAGAGUUGGGAAUACCCGAAGCCUGUGAGCUAACAGUAAUGAAGCAGCAGUCAAAGGUAGAAUCAAUGAUUGGGGUGAAGUCGUAACAAGGUACC